AGAGUGAUACUUUAAAUUAAAAGGAUUGAUUUGCAUUCAGGUAUUGGGUUGUGCCCUCAUUCUU
rnacentral:tRNA from 1 species